AAAUGAAUGUAGCAGGGGAGAUACCGCAGUCACAAAGAUGGCUUUCCCAGGGUGAGGCUCAUCCAUUGAUGAAACAGGUGUGCUGAUCUCUGCAAUUUACCCAAAUGCGGUAAACUCAGCUGCGUAAUUUGUGGUCGGCCUUUAAAACUGGGGU
ensembl:snRNA U1 U1 spliceosomal RNA